AAUUGGGGAUGAGAUUGAGAGAGAGGAUGAAAGGGAAGAGUAACAAAAGUGAAAAUAAUUUCAAAUAGAUUUCAGUUUUCAGUUUUGGUUUUCAAUUUUGUUACUCUUUCAUCUCAUCAUCUCCUCUCAUCUUCCCUCUCAAU
rnacentral:miRNA from 1 species